UACGUAGGGGGCGAGCGUUGUCCGGAUUUAUUGGGCGUAAAGAGCGUGUAGGCGGCCAGGUAGGUCUGCUGUGAAAACUCGAGGCUCAACCUCGAGACGUCGGCGGAAACCAUCUGGCUAGAGUCCGGAAGAGGAGAGUGGAAUUCCUGGUGUAGCGGUGAAAUGCGCAGAUAUCAGGAAGAACACCCGUGGCGAAGGCGGCUCUCUGGGACGGUACUGACGCUGAGACGCGAAAGCUAGGGGAGCAAACAGG
rnacentral:rRNA from 1 species